rnacentral:tRNA from 1 species
GCUUUGGUGGCGGAAUUGGUAUACGCGGUUGCCUCAAAAGCAACUGUCCGAAAGGACGUGAGGGUUCGAUUCCCUCUCAAAGCACGA